rnacentral:rRNA from 1 species
AUGUUGGAAGUAUUUAAAUCAUUUGAGUUUGUUUUCAUGCUGCACUUGAUGAAUGAAAUAUUUGGGUACACAAGUGACUUAAGCAAUGCUUUGCAAAAGAGGGAUCAAGAUAUUGUGAAUGCAGUUGAUCUUCUUGAGUUCACAAAGGUACAAUUGCAAGUUCUAAGAGAAGAUGAUGGCUGGAAAGAAUUCCUUGAGAAUGUCACUUCUUUUUGUGUGAAGCACAAUGUGAGAUGUGUUGACAUGGAUGGGAAGUACAAGCCUAUACAAAGAGCAAGAGUGUUCUAUAAAAAUGCCAUGAAUUACCAUCGGUUCCAUGCUGAUAUGUUUUUGGGUUUCAUUGAUAGGCAAUUUCAAGAGCUUAAGAACAGGUUUGAUGAGGUAAACACGGAGCUACUUAGAUGCAUGGCAUCAUUCAGUCCAGCCAAGUCAUUUUCUUCUUUUAAUAUUGAUGACCUGGUUAAGCUUGCUGGGUUCUAUCCUCAUGAUUUUGACUUUGAAGAAAUGCACCAACUUCCUUUUCAAUUGAAUCUCUAUAUUAGUGAUGUGAGGAAUGAUGAAAACUUCACAAACUUGAGAAGUCUAGCAGAGUUGUCUAUGAUGCUUGUUAGAACAGGGAGGGCUCUUCGGUAUGAUAUUGUUUACAAACUUCUCAAAUUGGUGCCAGUCCUUCCUGUUGCAACAGCCGGCAUUGAGAGGGUCAUUUCAUCAAUGAAAUAUAUAAAAAACAAGCUAAGAAGCAAGAUGGGGCAAAAAUACUUGAAUGAUUGCUUGGUCACAUUCAUUGAAAGGGAUUUCUUCUUGCAAGUUAAGGAUGAGGACAUUAUCACUCAUUUUCAAAGCAUCAAGGAUCGCAAAGUUAUCCUGUGA